rnacentral:rRNA from 1 species
CAGGCUUAACACAUGCAAGUCGAGGGGCAGCAUGGUCUUAUCUUGCUAAGGCCGAUGGCGACCGGCGCACGGGUGAGUAACACGUAUCCAACCUGCCGUCUACUCUUGGACAGCCUUCUGAAAGGAAGAUUAAUACAAGAUGGCAUCAUGAGUCCGCAUGUUCACAUGAUUAAAGGUAUUCCGGUAGACGAUGGGGAUGCGUUCCAUUAGAUAGUAGGCGGGGUAACGGCCCACCUAGUCUUCGAUGGAUAGGGGUUCUGAGAGGAAGGUCCCCCACAUUGGAACUGAGACACGGUCCAAACUCCUACGGGAGGCAGCAGUGAGGAAUAUUGGUCAAUGGGCGAGAGCCUGAACCAGCCAAGUAGCGUGAAGGAUGACUGCCCUAUGGGUUGUAAACUUCUUUUAUAAAGGAAUAAAGUCGGGUAUGGAUACCCGUUUGCAUGUACUUUAUGAAUAAGGAUCGGCUAACUCCGUGCCAGCAGCCGCGGUAAUACGGAGGAUCCGAGCGUUAUCCGGAUUUAUUGGGUUUAAAGGGAGCGUAGAUGGAUGUUUAAGUCAGUUGUGAGAGUUUGCGGCUCAACCGUAAAAUUGCAGUUGAUACUGGAUAUCUUGAGUGCAGUUGAGGCAGGCGGAAUUCGUGGUGUAGCGGUGAAAUGCUUAGAUAUCACGAAGAACUCCGAUUGCGAAGGCAGCCUGCUAAGCUGCAACUGACAUUGAGGCUCGAAAGUGUGGGUAUCAAACAGGAUUAGAUACCCUGGUAGUCCACACGGUAAACGAUGAAUACUCGCUGUUUGCGAUAUACUGCAAGCGGCCAAGCGAAAGCGUUAAGUAUUCCACCUGGGGAGUACGCCGGCAACGGUGAAACUCAAAGGAAUUGACGGGGGCCCGCACAAGCGGAGGAACAUGUGGUUUAAUUCGAUGAUACGCGAGGAACCUUACCCGGGCUUAAAUUGCAGAUGAAUUACGGUGAAAGCCGUAAGCCGCAAGGCAUCUGUGAAGGUGCUGCAUGGUUGUCGUCAGCUCGUGCCGUGAGGUGUCGGCUUAAGUGCCAUAACGAGCGCAACCCUUGUUGUCAGUUACUAACAGGUUCCGCUGAGGACUCUGACAAGACUGCCAUCGUAAGAUGUGAGGAAGGUGGGGAUGACGUCAAAUCAGCACGGCCCUUACGUCCGGGGCUACACACGUGUUACAAUGGGGGGUACAGAGGGCCGCUACCACGCGAGUGGAUGCCAAUCCCCAAAACCUCUCUCAGUUCGGACUGGAGUCUGCAACCCGACUCCACGAAGCUGGAUUCGCUAGUAAUCGCGCAUCAGCCACGGCGCGGUGAAUACGUUCCCGGGCCUUGUACACACCGCCCGUCAAGCCAUGGGAGCCGGGGGUACCUGAAGUGCGUAACCGCGAGGAGCGCCCUAGGGUAAAACUGGUGACUG